GAGCCUGGCAGAAGGGCUGUCCUGAAUUGUGGCAGUAGUAACCCCACUGUCACCAUCUGAAGUACUAUAGGAGCAUCUCUACUUGUAGAGUCCCACUAGGAAAUCACACUGGGAAAUGCCUUACCAUCUUUUCUCUGGAAGUCACCACUAUUGCUGUAGCACGUGGAAAAGUCGCUGCUUGUGUCAGUGAUAAUACCUCACUAGGCCAAGCAAGUAAGCAGAAGUAACCUGCAAGAUCUUGUCCACAUGUUCUGAGUUUGCUGCCCCAAAACUCCUCACCAUAGCACAUCUUCAUCCCAGAAACACAGCUACGAGGCCGCUCACAUCUUCAAAGUGUAAAUCAGACUCAUAUCUUGGAGGCAACUGGUACAGUUAGAGAACGGUCUUUUUAAAUCAGCUCAGAAACCAAAAACCAAAUAAUGAAUGAUAGCAAAAUAUUAGCUUGGCAAAACUCCACCGCGAUGAUUUGUUUUCCAAAGUGCAGCUGAUUUACAGAUUUGAGGCCUCCAUUCCUGCUCUCUAAGUUUAAAGCGAGAUAUUUCAACAAAAAUUAUAG
rnacentral:lncRNA from 1 species